rnacentral:rRNA from 1 species
AUGAACGCUGGCGGCGUGCCUAAUACAUGCAAGUCGAGCGAACAGACGAGGAGCUUGCUCCUCUGACGUUAGCGGCGGACGGGUGAGUAACACGUGGAUAACCUACCUAUAAGACUGGGAUAACUUCGGGAAACCGGAGCUAAUACCGGAUAAUAUAUUGAACCGCAUGGUUCAAUAGUGAAAGACGGUUUUGCUGUCACUUAUAGAUGGAUCCGCGCCGCAUUAGCUAGUUGGUAAGGUAACGGCUUACCAAGGCAACGAUGCGUAGCCGACCUGAGAGGGUGAUCGGCCACACUGGAACUGAGACACGGUCCAGACUCCUACGGGAGGCAGCAGUAGGGAAUCUUCCGCAAUGGGCGAAAGCUUGACGGAGCAACGCCGCGUGAGUGAUGAAGGUCUUCGGAUCGUAAAACUCUGUUAUUAGGGAAGAACAAAUGUGUAAGUAACUAUGCACGUCUUGACGGUACCUAAUCAGAAGGCCACGGCUAACUACGUG